GACGAACGCUGGCGGCGUGCUUAACACAUGCAAGUCGAACGGAAAGGCCCUGCUUUUGUGGGGUGCUCGAGUGGCGAACGGGUGAGUAACACGUGAGUAACCUGCCCUUGACUUUGGGAUAACUUCAGGAAACUGGGGCUAAUACCGGAUAGGAGCUCCUGCUGCAUGGUGGGGGUUGGAAAGUUUCGGCGGUGGGGGAUGGACUCGCGGCUUAUCAGCUUGUUGGUGGGGUAGUGGCUUACCAAGGCUUUGACGGGUAGCCGGCCUGGGAGGGUGACCGGCCACAUUGGGACUGAGAUACGGCCCAGACUGCUACGGGAGGCAGCAGUGGGGAAUAUUGCACAAUGGGCGGAAGCCUGAGGCAGCAACGCCGCGUGCGGGAUGACGGCCUUCGGGUUGUAAACCGCUUUCGCCUGUGACGAAGCGUGAGUGACGGUAAUGGGUAAAGAAGCACCGGCUAACUACGUG
rnacentral:rRNA from 1 species